rnacentral:rRNA from 1 species
UGAGUACGAGAUGCUACGGCAUCGAAGCAGUCUAUGUCAUACUUCCAAGAAAAGCUUGCACUGUCAGAAACAGAUAAUGCCUGUACCAUAACCGACACAGGUGGGUAGGUAGAGUAUACUAAGGGGCGCGAGAUAACUCUCUCUAAGGAACUCGGCAAAAUGACUCCGUAACUUCGGGAGAAGGAGUGCCUUAUUUUUAAGGUUGCAAUAACAAGAUCCAAGCAACUGUUUACCAAAAACACAGGUCUCCGCUAAGUCGUAAGACGAUGUAUGGGGGCUGACGCCUGCCCAGUGCCAGAAGGUUAAAGAAGUCGGUUAGCAUUCGCGAAGCUGGUAACUGAAGCCCUGGUGAACGGCGGCAGUAACAAUAACGGUCCUAAGGUAGCGAAAUUCCUUGUCGGGUAAGUUCCGACCCGCACGAAAGGCGUAAUGAUUUGGAUACUGUCUCGGAGAGGGGCUCGGUGAAAUAGACUUGUCUGUGAAGAUGCGGACUACCUGCACCUGGACAGAAAGACCCUAUGAAGCUUUACUGUAACUUGAAAUUGAAAUUGGACUUUAUUUGCGCAGUAUAGGUGGGAGGCGUUGAAAAUAUUCUUGCGGGAAUAUUGGAGCCAUCAGUGAGAUACCACUCUUGUAAUGUUAGAUUUCUAACUUUAUAUCAUUAUCUGGUUAAAGAACAGUUUCAGGCGGGCAGUUUGACUGGGGCGGUCGCCUCCCAAAUGGUAACGGAGGCGCACAAAGGUUUCCUCUGAACGGGUAGAAAUCGUAUCUAGAGUGUAAAGGCAUAAGGAAGCUUGACUGUGAGACCUACAAGUCGAGCAGGGACGAAAGUCGGUCUUAGUGAUCUGACGGUGCUGAGUGGAAAGGCCGUCACUCAACGGAUAAAAGUUACUCUAGGAUAACAGGCUGAUCUCCCCCAAGAGUUCACAUCGACGGGGAGGUUUGGCACCUCGAUGUCGGCUCAUCGCAUCCUGGGGCGGUAGUACGUCCCAAGGGUUGGGCUGUUCGCCCAUGAAAGCGGUACGCGAGCUGGGUUCAGAACGUCGUGAGACAGUUCGGUCCAUAUCCGGUGUAGGCGUUAGAAUAUUGAGAGGAGCCUUCUUUAGUACGAGAGGACCGAGAAGGACAUACCUCUGGUGUACCAGUUAUCGUGCCAACGGUAAACGCUGGGUAGCUAUGUAUGGAGUGGAUAACCGCUGAAAGCAUCUAAGUGGGAAGCCCACCUCAAGAUAAGUAUUCCC